GUCGAACGUGAAAGCCCCCUUCGGGGGGCAAGUAGAGUGGCGCACGGGUGAGUAACACGUAGGUAAUCUACCUUCGGAUGGGGAAUAACAACCGGAAACGGUUGCUAAUACCGCAUAAUGCAGCGGCACCUAAUGGUGACAGUUGUUAAAGCGGGGGAUCGAAAGACCUCGCGUCUGAAGAGGAGCCUGCGGCGGAUUAGCUAGUUGGUAAGGUAAUGGCUUACCAAGGCGACGAUCCGUAGCCGGCCUGAGAGGGCGGUCGGCCACACUGACACUGACAUACGGGUCAGACUCCUACGGGAGGCAGCAGUCGGGAAUUUUGGGCAAUGGGCGAAAGCCUGACCCAGCAACGCCGCGUGAAGGAUGAAAUCCCUCGGGAUGUAAACUUCGCAAGAACGGGAAGAAUAAGUCGGUGCUAAUACCACCGGCGAUGACGGUACCGUUUGUAAGCUCCGGCUAACUCCGUGCCAGCAGCCGCGGUAAUACGGGGGGAGCAAGCGUUGUUCGGAUUUACUGGGCGUAAAGGGCGCGUAGGCGGCCACCGCAAGUCAAUUGUGAAAUCUCCGGGCUUAACUCGGAAAGGUCAACUGAUACUGCGGGGCUAGAGUGCAGAAGGGGCAACUGGAAUUCUCGGUGUAGCGGUGAAAUGCGUAGAUAUCGAGAGGAACACCUGCGGCGAAGGCGGGUUGCUGGGCUGACACUGACGCUGAGGCGCGAAAGCUAGGGGAGCGAACGGGAUUAGAUACCCCGGUAGUCCUAGCCUUAAACGAUGAAUGCUUGGUGUCUGGGGUUUUAAAGUCCCCGGGUGC
rnacentral:rRNA from 1 species